rnacentral:rRNA from 1 species
AAAAACAUAUUUAAUAGAUUAUUAUUAUUAAUUUAUCCUGCUCAAUGAUAAUUUAAAUAGCCGCAGUUCAUACUGUGCUAAGGUAGCAUAAUCAUUUGUCUUAUAAUUAAAGACUAGAAUGAAAGGAGAUACAUUUAAGUUAUUAUAACAUUAUCUUAUUUUAAAUUUAUUUUAAAUGUAAAAAAACAUUUAUUCUUCAGAAAGACGAAAAGACCCUAUUGAACUUUACUUUAGUUUAACUGGGGUAGUUAAUUAAUUAAAAUUUUAAUUUUAAUUAAAUUUACAAUGACCUGAUCUAAUCAAUUUUAUAAUUAAGUUACCAUAGGGAUAACAGCGCAAUAAUUUUUAUUAGCUCUUAUAUAAAAAAAUGAUUACGACCUCGAUGUUGAAUUAAUUAAUCUGAUAAAUGCAACCAUUUAAAUAGAGAGUCUGUUCGACUUUUAAAUAAUUACAUGAUCU